UGCAUCUAAAUUUAUUUAUUUCAUUACACUCAAUAUUUAGGAACUUUUUGGCCCAGAUAGCUGCAACAGCAAGCCCUGCAGCUCAUGGGCCCCAGGUGCCCUGGGGAUAAGUUUGACUGUGGACAUUA